rnacentral:rRNA from 1 species
UAGGGAAUCUUCCACAAUGGACGCAAGUCUGAUGGAGCAACGCCGCGUGAGUGAAGAAGGUCUUCGGAUACGUAAACUCUGUUGUUAGAGAAGAACACGAGUGAGAGUAACUGUUCAUUCGAUGACGGUAUCUAACCNGCAAGUCACGGCUAACUCGUGCCAG